rnacentral:rRNA from 1 species
UACGAAGGGUGCAAGCGUUAAUCGGAUUUACUGGGCGUAAAGGGUGCGUAGGCGGUUCGUUAAGUCUGUCGUGAAAUCCCCGGGCUCAACCUGGGAAUGGCGAUGGAUACUGGCGAGCUAGAGUGUGUCAGAGGAUGGUGGAAUUCCCGGUGUAGCGGUGAAAUGCGUAGAGAUCGGGAGGAACAUCAGUGGCGAAGGCGGCCAUCUGGGACAACACUGACGCUGAAGCACGAAAGCGUGGGGAGCAAACAGG